AUAAGAGCGUAGGGUGGAUGCCUUGGCACUAGGCGCCGAUGAAGGACGUGACAAGCUGCGAAAAGCUACGGGGAGCUGCAAAUAAGCGUUGAGCCGUAGAUAUCCGAAUGAGGAAACUCACUGUUGGUAAUGCGACAGUAUCUAUGCAUGAAUUCAUAGUGUAUAGAGGGGAACCCGGAGAACUGAAACAUCUAAGUACCCGGAGGAAGAGAAAGUAAACAAACGAUUUCCUAAGUAGUGGUGAGCGAAAGGGAAAGAGCCCAAACCGACGCAUAGCGAUAUGCGAAGGGGUAGCGGACUGCAUAAAUGCACUAUAACAAGAUAGAUGAAGGAACUGGAAAGUUCUGCCAAAGAGGGUGACAGCCCCGUAGUUGAAAUUUUGUUUAGGCAUGCAGUAUCCAGAGUACCACAGGACACGAGAAAUCCGGUGGGAAUACAGGAGGACCAUCUCCUAAGGCUAAAUACGACCUAGUGACCGAUAGAGUAUAGUACCGUGAGGGAAAGGUGAAAAGAACCCCGGGAGGGGAGUGAAAGAGAACCUGAAACCCUAUGCUUACAAACAGACAUAGCACUACUAAAUAGUGUGGUGUCGUACUUUUUGUAGAACGGGCCGGCGAGUUACGUUGUGUAGCGAGGUUAAGGCAUUAAGUGCUGGAGCCGAAGCGAAAGCGAGUCUGAACAGGGCGACAUUAGUUGCAUGGCGUAGACCCGAAACCGGAUGACCUAACCAUGAACAGGUUGAAGCAGUGGUAAGACAUUGUGGAGGACCGAACCCACGCUCGUUGAAACGAUCGGGGAUGAUUUGUGGUUAGCGGAGAAAUUCCAAUCGAAUCCGGAGAUAGCUGGUUCUCCUCGAAAUAGCUUUAGGGCUAGCCUCUGUUUAGAGUACUGAAGGUAGAUCACUGAUUGGGCUAGGGGGCUUCACAGCUUACUGAACCCUAUUAAAAUCCAAAUGACAGAUACUUGAUGACAGGGAGUCAGACGAUGGGAGAUAAGUUUCAUUGUCAAAAGGAAAACAGUCCAGACCUACAACUAAGGUCCCCAAGUAAUAGUUAAGUGGUAAAGGAUGUGUCACCGCUAAAACAACCAGGAUGUUGGCUUAGAAGCAGCCACUCAUUUAAAGAGUGCGUAAUAGCUCACUGGUCGAGUGGUGGUGCGCCGAAAAUUAUCGGGGCUAAAACUAUACACCGAAGUUUAGGAAUACAGAAUUACUGUAUUGGUAGAGGAGCAAUGUAUGGAGGCAGAAGCGUAAGCGGAAGCGUGCGUGGACGACAUACAAGAGAGAAUGCCGGCAUGAGUAGCGAGAAUGCAGUGAGAAACUGCAUCGUCGAAUGUCUAAGGUUUCCUGGGGAAGGUUCGUCCGCCCAGGGUUAGUCGGGAACUAAGGCGAGGCCGAAAGGCGUAGUCGAUGACCAACUGGUAGAUAUUCCAGUACCACCGAAAUACGACAAAGAAAUGAAGCAAUGACACAGAAGGAUAGUCUAAGCGCGAUGAUGGACAUUUGCGCCCAAAUCAUGAGGCUGGUGUGUAGUGAAGUACGCACACUGUUAAGGCUAGGUGAUGACGGGGAGUGAAAAUUAGUAACGAAGUAGAUGAAUUCACGCUGGCGAGAAAAGUUGCUAAAUAGUAUUUUAGGUGCCCGUACCGCAAACCGACACAGGUAGACGGCAAGAAAAUUGUAAGACGGACGGGAUAACUCUUGUUAAGGAACUCUGCAAAAUUGCCCCGUAACUUCGGAAGAAGGGGUGCCACAGCGAUGUGGCCGCAGUGAAGAGGCCCGAGCGACUGUUUACCAAAAACACAGGUUUCUGCGAAUUCGAAAGAAGACGUAUAGGAGCUGACGCCUGCCCAGUGCUGGAAGGUUAAGGGGACAUGUUAGCGCAAGCAAAGCAUAGAACUUAAGCCCCAGUGAACGGCGGCCGUAACUAUAACGGUCCUAAGGUAGCGAAAUUCCUUGUCAGGUAAGUUCUGACCCGCACGAAUGGCGUAACGACUUGGGCGCUGUCUCAACAAGAGGCCCGGCGAAAUUGUAGUAUACGUGAAGAUGCGUAUUACCCGCGACUGGACGGAAAGACCCCGUAGAGCUUUACUGUAGCUUGAUAUUGGGAUCCGGUAAUUCAUGUACAGGAUAGGUGGGAGACUUGGAAGCAGGGGCGUCAGCUUCUGUGGAGUCACCCUUGGGAUACCACCCUUGAAUUAUUGGGUUUCUAACGCUGUGCCAUAGACCUGGGCAGCGGACAGUGUCAGGUGGGCAGUUUGACUGGGGCGGUCGCCUCCUAAAGAGUAACGGAGGCGUUCAAAGGUUCCCUCAGAAUGGUUGGAAACCAUUCGCAGAGCGUAAAGGCAUAAGGGAGCUUAACUGCGAGAUAGACAUAUCGGGCAGGUACGAAAGUAGGACUUAGUGAUCCGGCGGUAGUUCAUGGAAAUGCCGUCGCUUAACGGAUAAAAGUUACCUCGGGGAUAACAGGCUUAUCUCCCCCAAGAGUUCACAUCGACGGGGAGGUUUGGCACCUCGAUGUCGGCUCGUCACAUCCUGGGGCUGAAGUAGGUCCCAAGGGUUCGGCUGUUCGCCGAUUAAAGUGGCACGCGAGCUGGGUUCAGAACGUCGUGAGACAGUUCGGUCCCUAUCCAUCGUGGGCGUAGGAUAUUUGAAAGGAGCUGUCCCUAGUACGAGAGGACCGGGAUGGACGUACCUAUGGUGAAUCAGUUGUCGUGCCAACGGCAUAGCUGGGUAGCGAAGUACGGAAGGGAUAAACGCUGAAGGCAUCUAAGCGUGAAGCCCCCCUUAAGAUUAGAUAUCCAAGAUAGCAAUAUCGAGAGACCCCUUUUAGACUAAAAGGUUGAUAGGUCGGGUGUGGAAGUGCAGCAAUGUAUGAAGCUGACCGAUACUAAUGGUCAAAAGCUUAAUCA
rnacentral:rRNA from 1 species